rnacentral:rRNA from 1 species
GAUGAACGCUAGCUACAGGCUUAACACAUGCAAGUCGAGGGGAAACGGCAUUGAGUGCUUGCACUCUUUGGACGUCGACCGGCGCACGGGUGAGUAACGCGUAUCCAACCUUCCCAUUACUGUGGGAUAACCUGCCGAAAGGCAGACUAAUACCGCAUAGUCUUCGAUGACGGCAUCAGAUUUGAAGUAAAGAUUUAUCGGUAAUGGAUGGGGAUGCGUCUGAUUAGCUUGUUGGCGGGGUAACGGCCCACCAAGGCAACGAUCAGUAGGGGUUCUGAGAGGAAGGUCCCCCACAUUGGAACUGAGACACGGUCCAAACUCCUACGGGAGGCAGCAGUGAGGAAUAUUGGUCAAUGGACGGAAGUCUGAACCAGCCAAGUAGCGUGCAGGAUGACGGCCCUAUGGGUUGUAAACUGCUUUUGUAUGGGGAUAAAGUUAGGGACGUGUCCCUAUUUGCAGGUACCAUACGAAUAAGGACCGGCUAAUUCCGUGCCAGCAGCCGCGGUAAUACGGAAGGUCCAGGCGUUAUCCGGAUUUAUUGGGUUUAAAGGGAGCGUAGGCUGGAGAUUAAGUGUGUUGUGAAAUGUAGACGCUCAACGUCUGAAUUGCAGCGCAUACUGGUUUCCUUGAGUACGCACAACGUUGGCGGAAUUCGUCGUGUAUCGGUGAAAUGCUUAGAUAUGACGAAUAACUCCUAUUGCGAAGGCAGCUGACGGGAGCGCAACUGACGUGUAAGCUCGAAGGUGCGGGGUAUCAAACAUG